rnacentral:lncRNA from 12 species
AUGACCCAAAAUGGGAAAACACAAGAUGCCUCAAAUGCACUGAACCUAACUGAGAUAACGAGGACCUGGAUCUCAGACCUGAACCUCCAACUGAGCAUGAUGAGAUUUAAAGUAUCUCCACACCCAACUUGGAACUUGAACUCACAAAACCUGAGGUCAUGAGUUGUACACUCCACCAACUGAGACAGCCACGCACCCCCUAAUUUUAAAAAGGUUUUAAAUGUGCUUUGUAAACAUUGGUCAUUUUUUCUAAAUGUUUCUACUUUAUUAUCGAGUGAAGUGUAGGACAACCAAGUAUCUGGUGCUUUAUUUUUACUUGACCUGUCAUAUUGAUUAUUCACUACUUGAACUUCUCUCAAUUUUUGUACCAUUCUUUCUGAAUUAGUUCCUUCCUUGGAUCACUCUUAGUUCCUCUACUUGUUUGUCUUCUACUACCCACACUUUAUUUAUUUAUUUUUUUACUACCCACACUUUAAUUCGAACUUUGUAUACUUUUGUUUUUAGCUCCAAUUCUCAUUCUCUAAACUAUCUUUGGCAAUCUUUUCCCAUCUAGUAUAGACUGUGUGUCUCUGUGCACUUAACAAAUGCAUAUUUAAAGCCCUAACUUUCAGUGUGGCUAUAGUUGGUAAUGGUGAAUCCAAGGAAAUAAUUAAGGUUAGAUGAGGCAACAAGGGGAGGGGAGACCCUGAUCUACUAGGAUAGCAGUUAUAGGAAGAGACACCAGAGAGCUUGCUCACUCUCCAUGUUAUACACGCAAAAAAGGCCCUAUGAUGACAGAGUGAGAAGGUGGCCAUCUAUAAGCCAGGAAGAGAGCCCUUAAACAGAAAUAAAAUUAAAAAAAAAAAAAAAAAAAAAAAGAAG